CGAACGCUGGCGGCAGGCCUAAUACAUGCAAGUCGAACGGCUCUUCGGAGCAGUGGCGGACGGGUGAGCAACGCGUGGGAAUGUGCCCUUUGGUACGGAACAACACAGGGAAACUUGUGCUAAUACCGUAUGUGCCCUUCGGGGGAAAGAUUUAUCGCCAUUGGAGCAGCCCGCGUUGGAUUAGGUAGUUGGUGAGGUAAAGGCUCACCAAGCCUACGAUCCAUAGCUGGUCUGAGAGGAUGACCAGCCACACUGGGACUGAGACACGGCCCAGACUCCUACGGGAGGCAGCAGUAGGGAAUCUUGCGCAAUGGGCGAAAGCCUGACGCAGCCAUGCCGCGUGUAUGAUGAAGGUCUUAGGAUUGUAAAAUACUUUCGCCGGGGAAGAUAAUGACGGUACCCGGAGAAGAAGCCCCGGCUAACUUCGUGCCAGCAGCCGCCGUAAAAC
rnacentral:rRNA from 1 species